rnacentral:rRNA from 1 species
UGCAUAGGAAUCUGCCCAGUAGUGGGGGAUAACUCGGAGAAAUCCGAGCUAAUACCGCAUAUGUCCUACGGGACAAAGCAGGGGACCUUCGGGCCUUGCGCUAUUGGAUGAGCCUAUGUCGGAUUAGCUAGUUGGUAGAGUAAAAGCCUACCAAGGCGACGAUCCGUAGCUGGUCUGAGAGGAUGAUCAGCCACACUGGGACUGAGACACGGCCCAGACUCCUACGGGAGGCAGCAGCGGGGAAUAUUGCACAAUGGGCACAAGCCUGAUGCAGCAAUGCCGCGUGUGUGAAGAAGGCCU